rnacentral:miRNA from 1 species
UUCCUCACAUUGUCACAUGAAG